ensembl:lncRNA
GGUGGAAUAAAUGGGAGCAGGGGUGACAGAGGGGGCCAAAUUCAGGAGGCGGAACCCCCAAAGACUCAGUUCCCAAUGAGAAUGAAAAGGUGAGGGUGGAGAACGGCUCUGAAUGAGACACCCGAACCAGGACAGCCCCGGGGGCACCUGGGCUUGUAUCAACAGAAACGCCAGGUCAGUGCCUUUACUGUCAUUUAGGCAAGAGAGUCACCCCCAACCUACAUCAGCGAUUGUGUCCACAGAAACACCUUGUCUGCCUAAUGAGAAACAGGAAGCAAAAUCUGAUGGGUGUUCCUGUUGCCCCACAGGGAUCCUGAAAUGCCCCAGGGCACCCCACUUGGACGUAGCUCCUGGAGGCUGAUGGCCUGAGACUGGGGAGACCAGGGAAGCACCUCCCCUGGCUGGCUGGAGAGGCCACCGAGCUGGAAAAUGGACCUGGAGGGAGAACGCACCCUGCCAGUGUCCUGGAGGAAGGCUGACUCCGGCAGAGACGAGUCAGAAAAAAGUAAUGGGAGCCGAUAAGAAAACAGAAGUUAACCCAGACGAUUGCAAAGGGGGACACCACGGCUGGAGGCCUGGCCCAGUGACCUCACAGUCUGUUUACAGCCUGACGGUUUUCCAAGGCCUGCUUCGGACACCACGUACUUCCUCCCCGUGACAAAGGUCCAAGGAACACACUAAUAAAUGGCAGAGCUGGGCCUCAAGCCCAGGUCUGACUCAGAGGCUCAAAGCCACACCCAUCAUCCACACCAGGCCUGAAUGUCAGGGAAUACACAAAGUACGCUGAUCAAUAAGCUGGGGCCAUUUCAGGCUUAACGUGAACGCAGC